UUCCGGUUGAUCCCGCCGGACCCGACUGCUAUCAGAGUGGGAUUAAGCCAUGCGAGUUAACGUAGCAAUACGUGGCAUACGGCUCAGUAACACGUAGUCAACAUGCCCAGGGGACGUGGAUAACCUCGGGAAACUGAGGAUAAACCGCGAUAGGCCAAGAUUUCUGGAAUGAAUCAUGGUUUAAAUCUAUAUGGCCCCUGGAUUGGACUGCGGCCGAUCAGGCUGUUGGUGAGGUAAUGGCCCACCAAACCUGUAACCGGUACGGGCUCUGAGAGGAGGAGCCCGGAGAUGGGCACUUAGACAAGGGCCCAGGCCCUAUGGGGCGCAGCAGGCGCGAAACCUCUGCAAUAAGCGAAAGCUUGACAGGGUUACUCUGAGUGAUUUCCGCUAAGGAAGCCUUUUGGCACCUCUAAAAAUGGUGCAGAAUAAGGGGUGGGCAAGUCUGGUGUCAGCCGCCGCGGUAAUACCAGCACCCCGAGUGGUCGGGACGAUUAUUGGGCCUAAAGCAUCCGUAGCCGGUCCUGCAAGUCCUCCGUUAAAUCCACCCGCUCAACGGUUGGGCCGCGGGGGAUACUACAGGGCUAGGAGGCGGGAGAGGCAAGCGGUACUCGAUGGGUAGGGGUAAAAUCCACUGAUCCAUUGAAGACCACCAGUGGCGAAGGCGGCUUGCCAGAACGCGCUCGACGGUGAGGGAUGAAAGCUGGGGGAGCAAACCGGAUUAGAUACCCGGGUAGUCCCAGCUGUAAACGAUGCAGACUCGGUGAUGGGCUGGCUUCGUGCCAACCCGGUGCCGCAGGGAAGCCGUUAAGUCUGCCGCCUGGGGAGUACGGUCGCAAGACUGAAACUUAAAGGAAUUGGCGGGGGAGCACCACAAGGGGUGAAGCCUGCGGUUCAAUUGGAUUCAACGCCGGG
rnacentral:rRNA from 1 species